rnacentral:rRNA from 1 species
AAGGAUCAUUAUUGAAUUGUUUAAAAAUGGGGCAAGACGCUUUCGAGCUCUUCCUCUACAUUCUUUAUUCCUUAACACCUGUGAAUCGUUGCUGAGUUCGCUCAGUGGCACCUUUUCUACACACACACUUUAUAGUUUAGAACGUAAAAACAUAAAAUAAAAAUACAACUUUUGACAACGGAUCUCUUGGUUCUCCCAUCGAUGAAGAACGCAGCGAAAUGCGAUAAGUAAUGUGAAUUGCAGAAUUCAGUGAAUCAUCGAAUCUUUGAACGCACCUUGCGCUCCUUGGUAUUCCUUGGAGCAUGCCUGUUUGAGAGUCUUGAAUAUCUCUGCUUUCAUUUUUUUGUUUUCGAAAAGAUGACAAGUCAGGUCCUUGGGUCUGCUUGCGGUUUGUUACGAACACAAGCUUACCUUAAAUGAAUUAGCUGGACUUCAGCAGAGUUGUUAAGUAACAUUGAAAACUCUCGUAAUAUGAAGUCUGCUCUCUAAUCAUUCUUUCGAGAAUACUUUCUAUUUUGGCCUCAAAUCAGGUAGGACUACCCGCUGAACUUAA